UUUUACAUGUGACUAAAUGGCUUGAAUGCUUUAAAAAAAUUAUGUAAAAUUUAACCUUUUAUCUUUGUAUUGUAAGGGUUUGUUUAGAUACCACUUAUUAUUGAAAAUUAAAAACUGAAAACUAAAAAUACUUUAGUAAAAUAAUUUUUAAAUGUGUGAAUAGUACUGUAGGAUCCAAAUUUAUAUUAAAAUUUGUGUUUGGAUGAAUUUUGUGGGUCUAUAAACAGUGCCAUGAAACCCACAUUUUUUUAGCAAAAUGUACAAAUGCUGACAUGCUCUUUGUUUCACCGCAACCCAAACACUUACUAAGUAGUUAAAAUAUGGUUUAUAGCAAAAACUCUCAGUUUGAAAUGAGGUAUUUUUCAUAAAAAAUAAUGUCAAAUUUUUUUAAUAUAAUUUAUUAAUAAUUGGCAUAAUAACACUAAUUAACAUGAUCAUUUAUUUAUUUAUUUUUCAGAAUUCUAUGCUUUAAAUUUGCUUAUAAGUCGGUAGGUUUUAAGAGUCCUAGUCUGGUAGUAGAAAAGUAGGUAACAGUAAAGGUAGUUUCAUUAUUAUUCGGUGGGAACCAAAUUUUAAUAUAAAAUUUGCUAUAGGCCUUUUAAAAAAUAAAAGUAACUGUAGUUGUUGUGGGAAUUGUAGUGUACUUGUUACUAAAUACAUAUUGCACCUGAUCCAAUUAUUAUGAAUAGUUGAGAUUUAAAGUUAAAAAAAAAAAAAUUUAAAUCUUAACCAUUAAAUAUUAAAAAUGAGUAAAAAUAAAAAAAAUUAUAGAUAAAAAAAGUAAAAAAGAGUUGUGAAAGAGUUGGGUUAAUUAUAGGGUGCAAUUACAUUUACCAACAGGUCGAGAAAGUUGUUUGUCAAUGUACCGGAGUCUAAUAAGACUUUUUAGUACAAUUUUGUAAUAAAACGAAGGACUUUUUGGAAGUUCAGGUGUCAAAUAAGACUUUUUAGCACAAUUUAGUAAUAUAAUAAAGAACAUCCGCAUGGUAGUAAAAAAUUUAGCAAUAUAAUUCUAUAAAAAAAUUACUUUAUUUACUCUAUCUUCUCACUUUAUAAUAUACCCAACGUCAAUAACCUUAACCACAACCUAGGGCAAGGAAAAGAAAAAACAAACCACCACCCAACACAGCCACAACCUCCAGAAGCACAGCAGCCACAACCACAGCUACCAAAUCACCACCAAACCAUCAUUUCAAUCACAACCCACAUUCAAACUGACAAACAAAAAAACCAAACCACCACCACAACUACCAAACCCAUAGAAAAAAAAAAAAAAAAAA